AUUGAACGCUGGCGGCAGGCCUAACACAUGCAAGUCGAGCGGAUGAAGGGAGCUUGCUCCUGGAUUCAGCGGCGGACGGGUGAGUAAUGCCUAGGAAUCUGCCUGGUAGUGGGGGAUAACGUCCGGAAACGGGCGCUAAUACCGCAUACGUCCUGAGGGAGAAAGUGGGGGAUCUUCGGACCUCACGCUAUCAGAUGAGCCUAGGUCGGAUUAGCUAGUUGGUGGGGUAAAGGCCUACCAAGGCGACGAUCCGUAACUGGUCUGAGAGGAUGAUCAGUCACACUGGAGGUGAGAGACGGUCGAGAGUCCGACGGGAGGCAGGAGUGGGGAAUGUUGGACAGUGGGCGAAAGCCUGAUCCAGCCAUGCGGCGUGUGUGAAGAAGGUCUUCGGAUUGUAAAGCACGUUAAGUUGGGAGGAAGGGCAGUAAGUUAAUACCUUGCUGUGUUGACGUUACCAACAGAAUAAGCACCGGCUAACUUCGUG
rnacentral:rRNA from 1 species